CCUACGGGUGGCAGCAGUGAGGAAUAUUGGUCAAUGGCCGGAAGUCUGAACCAGCCAAGCCGCGUGAAGGACGAAGGUUCCAAGAAUUGUAAACUUCUUUUGUCAAGGGAUAAAAUCCGGCGCGUGUGCCUGUCCGCGUGUACCUUACGAAUAAGCAUCGGCUAACUCCGUGCCAGCAGCCGCGGUAAUACGGAGGAUUCGAGCGUUAUCCGGAUUUAUUGGGUUUAAAGGGUGCGUAGGCGGGUUGUUAAGUCAGCGUGAAAAGCCCGGGGCUCAACCCCGGCGCGCCGUUGAUACUGGCGGGCUUGAGUUGAGGAGAGGUAGGCGGAAUGCGAGGUGUAGCGGUGAAAUGCUUAGAUAU
rnacentral:rRNA from 1 species